rnacentral:rRNA from 1 species
AACGAACGCUGGCGGCGUGCCUAAUACAUGCAAGUCGAGCGAACAGAUAAGGAGCUUGCUCCUUUGAAGUUAGCGGCGGACGGGUGAGUAACACGUGGGUAACCUACCUAUAAGACUGGGAUAACUUCGGGAAACCGGAGCUAAUACCGGAUAACAUUUAGAACCGCAUGGUUCUAAAGUGAAAGAUGGUUUUGCUAUCACUUAUAGAUGGACCCGCGCCGUAUUAGCUAGUUGGUAAGGUAACGGCUUACCAAGGCGACGAUACGUAGCCGACCUGGGAGGGUGAUCGGCCACACUGGAACUGAGACACGGUCCAGACUCCUACGGGAGGCAGCAGUAGGGAAUCUUCCGCAAUGGGCGAAAGCCUGACGGAGCAACGCCGCGUGAGUGAUGAAGGGUUUCGGCUCGUAAAACUCUGUUAUUAGGGAAGAACAAAUGUGUAAGUAACUGUGCACAUCUUGACGGUACCUAAUCAGAAAGCCACGGCUAACUACGUGCCAGCCGCCGCCGUAA